rnacentral:rRNA from 1 species
AUUGAACGCUGGCGGCAGGCCUAACACAUGCAAGUCGAACGAGUGGCGGACGGGUGAGUAAUGUCUGGGAAACUGCCCGAUGGAGGGGGAUAACUACUGGAAACGGUAGCUAAUACCGCAUACCAUCGGAUGUUCCACGAUUGGAUUAGCUAGUAGGUGGGGUAACGGCUCACCUAGGCGACGAUCCCUACCUGGUCUGAGAGGGUGACCAGCCACACUGGAACUGAGACACGGUCCAGACUCCUACGGGAGGCAGCAGUGGGGAAUAUUGCACAAUGGGCGAAAGCCUGAUGCAGCCAUGCCGAGUGUAUGAAGAAGGCCUUCGGGUUGUAAAGUAAGUUCAGCGGGGAGGCGUUACUCGCAGAAGAAGCACCGGCUAACUCCGUGCCAGCAGCCGCGGUAAUUC